UACGUAGGGGGCAAGCGUUGUCCGGAAUCAUUGGGCGUAAAGAGCGUGUAGGCGGCCAGCUAAGUCCGCUGUGAAAUCUCGAGGCUCAACUUCGAGCUGUCGGUGGAAACUGUCUGGCUAGAGUCCGGAAGAGGAGAAUGGAAUUCCUGGUGUAGCGGUGAAAUGCGCAGAUAUCAGGAAGAACACCCGUGGCGAAGGCGGUUCUCUGGGACGGUACUGACGCUGAGACGCGAAAGCGUGGGGAGCGAACAGG
rnacentral:rRNA from 1 species